CGUAAGANAAUCUGACGAUAUUCAUCACCGCUCCYSGAGACGCUCCUCKCGUCCUUUGCUCGGAGUCGGCCAACCGCGUGCGGUAACACACGGGASACCAUCUUCCGUCUCACCCGUCCCUCCGAUAAGGAUAUGGUGGGGGGAAUUACCAUUUGUGACGCCCAAGAAGAGUUGCCCACGGCCAAAAGGAUUAGGGCGCAAUUUGCGUCCCCGGACUCGAUGGUUCACGGGAUUCUGCAAUUCACAAAAAGUAUCNNUUUCGCUACGUUCUUCAUCGAUGCGAGAGCUCASAUAUCCRUUGCCGAGAGUCGUUUUGCACUUUAGAUUUGUSAAUUGANCAUCCACGGACACCCCGUCUCCGGGGUCGCGAAUGCSAGCCCGUUCCUUGCAUGUUCCUUGACACUUUUCUGGCCGUGGUUUGGUUAAGUCCGGAAGCAACGCGCWAAGGCCGGAUCCGGACGUGAGUCCAAAUCUGGGACMGUUCGCGAAACCACGGAACCGGCGGGCAACGGAAUCUGU
rnacentral:misc_RNA from 1 species